ensembl:lncRNA
UAUACAAGUUUCACUUUUUGAAUGGAAUUAGUGAAAUAAAUCAACUUUUUGAUGAUAUUCUAAUUAUAUGACCAGCACCUGUAUAUGUAUGAGUUGUUCCCCCAUUUAUCUGUUUAGAUGAAUAUGUUUUUAUUUAUAGUUAUAAAUAUACUGUGGGAUCCGAAAGUCAGAUGAUUUGCUUUAUAUUUCUAAUUUAAUACACAGUUUUCAUUAGACUUUGUGCUAGCAGCUUAGCAAUUUGAAUAAUAAAGUUAAAAUGUAUAUUUAUUUACAUCAGUACUGGGGCUAACAUGCAAAAAAACGGGUGAGAAUGAAUUAUAUUCUGUAGAAUUUCAUUUGCUUACAUUUGAUUUGUAAAAAUAAAAUAAAAAAUGCAUAUAAAUGGCAAAUUCUGUUAGCAGCAUAUCAAUUUGAACCAAAAAAAAAAAAAAAUGUACAGUAUUAUUUUAAUACUUAGUAUAUCAGCACUGAUAAGCUUGAAUUGUUUUCCAGGAAAACUAACCUCUCAUGGUCGCAUGUGAAAUCAUCUUAAACUUUGUUUUAAAGUUUUCAAAAGCAAAUUCUGCUUAUUUCUAGGUUAAAAUGUGUUGAUAUGGUCUCAGACGUUUGGAGCCCACAGUCCUUGCAUUUUUUCAUGUUAGAUGAGCAUGAUCAAAUGAUCCUCUUGAGAUGUUUACUAACCCUAAACUGAAGUGUUAAUUCAGAUCUUCAGGUCAUGGAAUACUUAGAACAAAUCCUUUUCUUUUUUUGUCUUUUUUUUUUGGGGGGGGGGGUACUUGCUAAUUUGUCAUUUUCAUACAGCGUAGUGUCUGAAUUUCAAUCUGCACCUCCGGCUUGGGUUAAUUAAACAAGCCAGGUUGACACCACGUCUAUCCUUCAGCUAGAUCAAUGAGUGGGUGGACGGCAUACCACAACCACAUUCAGCCGGAUUCCCCACAAUCCUCUGGAAAUGUGUUUGGCAUUCCAGCUCUGGGUAUAAGUGGCCAUCAUCUCACCGCAUCCAAUACCUGAACACAACCCAGUUCAACCCAACGUCCCUGUUCUCUUUGCUCGGGAAGGGCCGUGAUUUAGCAGGUUUGGACAGUGAGCGAGCUCUAAGUGUCGUUUGCCUCUCUUUCCAGCAUCCUGCCUUUGAUGCUGGGUUUAAUUCUAAUGGCGCAACACAUCCAAUCCGGUUAUGGGUUUCAGGCCGCUGGAGCAUGGAGGCGGCAUGUCCAUCUUUAAUCCCAAUCAGACGUGCUUGACUCAGGAUGUGAAGCCGGCCCACUGGUACUGCAUGGGAUUGCUGAUAAAGGAUAAUUCUGGUCCUGUUUGAAUAGGACACAUGGAGCGACUCUCCGUCAGUCAGACAGGGACCCUCGACUGAAGCUUUCUGGAGCUCAAGUUGUGCCAGAAACAUUCAGUGUACUUCAAUCACACACUCUCAUCAUUCCUUUCAUACCAGCAUGCAUUUCUGUGGCUCUUCCAGCCUUAACAGAAUAAAUGGAAGAGACUAUUGUUUCUGUAGAUUAUGAGCUAAUCCCAUUUAGGAUGGAUGAAGCAGUACAAUAGUGUUUUUUUUUUUUUUUUUUAAUAGCAAAAAAAGCAGCUAAAUAUGCAUUUCUGAAUCAACAUUUAAACAAAUGUGUCUUUGUGCACUCACUGCAAUGUCACAUUUUGUGACACACUGUUGUCACCUAACAAAAAAUAAAAAAAUAAAUUGAAGAUGAUCGACACAUUCAUAUUUGAAUCUUCCAAUGACAAACAUGUUUUCUAUAACUGCUAGAAACUUGAAUUAUACAAACACUGAUAUAAAUUUGGUGUACAAACCAUUUUCACUAAGAAAGUGCUAGUAAAUUUUACAAAGAGUUACAAAGAAACCGCAAGUAACAUUAAAUUAAACAUGACAUUUUUAAGUGGAAAAACUGGCGGUAUGUUCUUGUAAAACGUAUAUAAUAUAAAAUUAUAUAAUAUAAUUAUUAGGGCUGUCAACGUCAACAUGUGCAAUUACUUUUACAAUUCUUAACUCAUUAAAAUUAUUUAACGCAAUUAAUGCAAAAUUACUAAUCUAACCGCUAACCUAAUUUUGCUUCUCUGUUAACGAUCAGGUCAUUUUAAGCCACUAAACUCCGAUGCUUGUAUUGUAUUGUAUUGUAUUGUAUUGUAUUGAUUCAAUGCAUGUGUGAGUGCUCUUGAUGCACUGAUCACACUUUGUAUUUAUGUACAUGCACAGACGUUUCCAUACAUUCACGUUGUUUCCACACACAUUCAUGAUAAUGUUUUGAUUUGCUGUGUUUAGUUAUUC